AUGCGACUGCAGGAGCUGACUACCAAGCCUAGUGGUGGUGGUGGAUCCCAGGGUGGUGGCCCCUUUUUGGCCCGCUUUCUGAUAACGUGUGCAAAAACAUCUACACACCAAGGAUGUUGGACAAGCUGGCAGUUUGUGACCCGGCGCACAAGACAAGAAAAGGAGAUUGUAAUGAAGGGAGUCAGAGAGUUUGAAGUUUAAUAAUAUGUUUGAAUAUGUUUAACAUGUUUGUGCUCUUAUUUACAGUGAAUAAUGAUAAGGGAGGUUCAGGACAUACACACACACGCUGCUCAAAACCUCAUUCUUGCUCUUUGCUCUUUUCAUAAGUGUUAACCCAAAUCACAGGCAUGUAUGAAAAGUCUCGAGGAGGGGCACCGUGACAAGGUGUCUUAUCAACGGUCAGUGGAGCUGGACCUUAUCAAUGAGGAGGUGCCACCUGCUCUAGGACAUCCUAACAAAACAUCACACGUGGAGAAUGGAGGAAGACCACAUGGAUCAUGAAUAUUAAUGAUUGUGUUUUAUGUGCUGGGUGCAGGGACAUGGGCAGAGCAGACCGCCUGUCGUAAGCCCCGCUUAGAUGUAGGCCGCAGGGAGAAUUAGAUAUGCACCCAGAGCUCUGUAUUAGAAUUGUAAACAACAGGGAAUAAAUCUUUCUUGAACUCAUUGAAUCUUGGUUUUCCUUCCAACAGACGAACAUGCCCAACAACAUCCUGUUUCUUUUGAGUUUCUAAAAAUCAGCCAUGUUUGAAAGCCACGUGAGUGCUAGCUUAAAGUUUUCAGAUGAAGUUGGUCUCAUAUGGUGGGGAAUUUUUGUUGUGUCUAUACAUUUUUAUACAUACAUUUUUGAAUAACCCAAAUGUAUUUUAUUAUAGAUCCUAAUAUUAUUUCCUCUAUAUUUGAUUACGUUAUAUUGUAAAUCGAUUUUUUUUUUUUUUUACCCAUUGUUGCUGAGAGGGGAGAGGCCUCUAGAUUCACUUCCUCAGGCUUUCCUCAACAACAGGUUAUUACAGUAGAAAAUAAGCAGACCCUCCAGCCAAUCAGAAGCAUGACGUUGUUUUGAAAUGAGGUGCCUAAAGCAUAAAAAACCGAUAAAUCUUUUGUUUUUAUCCUUGAAUGGCUGAACUUUGGUGUAAUCUAGAAAAUGUGUCUUAUUGUGAAUAUGUUUAACAUUUGUUUAUGUUUAUUAAACUGGACUCUGUUUGGACUGGCCCGAGC
rnacentral:lncRNA from 1 species